rnacentral:rRNA from 1 species
AGAGUUUGAUCCUGGCUCAGAACGAACGCUGGCGGCAGGCCUAACACAUGCAAGUCGAACGCCGUAGUAAUACGGAGUGGCAGACGGGUGAGUAACACGUGGGAACAUGCCCUUCGGUUCGGAAUAACUCAGGGAAACUUGAGCUAAUACCGGAUACGUCCAAGGUUUUGCCUUGGAGAAAGAUCUAUCGCCGGAGGAUU